rnacentral:sRNA from 1 species
AGCUACUCCUGAUUGAAGUGGUAUCCUUUUUUGAGGUACGAAAAAAAGAUUUAACGGAAAGCAGGAAGAAAC